rnacentral:rRNA from 1 species
GAUGAACGUUGGCGGCGUGCCUAAUACAUGCAAGUCGAACGAAGACUGUAGUAAUACUGUCUUAGUGGCGAACGGGUGAGUAACGCGUGGGUGACCUGCCCCGAAGUGUGGGAUAACAGUCCGAAAGGAUUGCUAAUACUGCAUAAUAUCCAAGAGAUUAGAUGCUUUUGGAUUAAAGGAGUAAUUCGCUUCGGGAGGGGCCCGCGUCCCAUCAGCUAGUUGGUAAGGUAAUGGCUUACCAAGGCGAUGACGGGUAGGGGACCUGAGAGGGUGGCCCCCCACAAUGGAACUGAAACACGGUCCAUACACCUACGGGUGGCAGCAGUAGGGAAUAUUAGUAAUGGGCGAAAGCCUGAACUAGCAACGCCGCGUGUGCGAAGAAGGCCUUGGGUCGUAAAGACACUUUUUGAGAGGAUGA